ensembl:snRNA U6 U6 spliceosomal RNA
GUGCUUGCUUCAGCAACACACAUACUAAAUUGGAAUGCUACAGAGAAGAUUAGCAUGGCCUCUGCGCAAGGAUGAAAUGCAAAUUCGUGAAGUGUUCCAUAUUUUU